rnacentral:rRNA from 1 species
GACGAACGCUGGCGGCGUGCUUAACACAUGCAAGUCGAACGGAAAGGCCCUGCUUUUGUGGGGUGCUCGAGUGGCGAACGGGUGAGUAACACGUGAGUAACCUGCCCUUGACUUUGGGAUAACUUCAGGAAACUGGGGCUAAUACCGGAUAGGAGCUCCUGCUGCAUGGUGGUGGUUGGAAAGUUUCGGCGGUUGGGGAUGGACUCGCGGCUUAUCAGCUUGUUGGUGGGGUAGUGGCUUACCAAGGCUUUGACGGGUAGCCGGCCUGAGAGGGUGACCGGCCACAUUGGGACUGAGGUACGGCCCAGACUCCUACGGGAGGCAGCAGUGGGGAAUAUUGCACAAUGGGCGGAAGCCUGAUGCAGCAACGCCGCGUGCGGAAUGACGGCCUUCGGGUUGUAAACCGCUUUCGCCUGUGACGAAGCGUGAGUGACGGUAAUGGGUAAAGAAGCACCGGCUAACUACGUG